AUUGAACGCUGGCGGCAGGCCUAACACAUGCAAGUCGAGCGGAGCGGCGGACGGAUGAGUAAUGACUAGGAAUCUGCCUGGUAGUGGGGGAUAACGUCAGGACACGGGCGCUAAUAUCGCAUACUAUCAGAUGAGCCUCGGUCGGCUUAGCUCGUUGGUGGGGUAAAGGCCUACAACGGCGACGAUCCGUAACUGGUCUGAGAGGCUGAUCAGGCACACUGGAACUGAGACACGGUCCAGACUCCUACGGGAGGCAGCAGUGGGGAAUAUUGGACAAUGGGCGAAAGCCUGAUCCAGCCAUGCAGCGUGUGUGAAGAAGGUCUUCGGAUUGUAAAGCACUUUAAGUUGGGAGGCGUUACCAACAGAAUAAGCACCGGCUAACUUCGUGCCAGCAGCCGCGGUAAUUC
rnacentral:rRNA from 1 species